AUGAACGCUGGCGGCGUGCUUAACACAUGCAAGUCGAACGGAAAGGCCCAAGCUUGCUUGGGUACUCGAGUGGCGAACGGGUGAGUAACACGUGGGUGAUCUGCUCUGCACUUCGGGAUAAGCCUGGGAAACUGGGUCUAAUACCGGAUAGGACCACUUCUUGGAUGUUGUGGUGGAAAGUUUUUUCGGUGUGGGAUGAGCUCGCGGCCUAUCAGCUUGUUGGUGGGGUAAUGGCCUACCAAGGCGUCGACGGGUAGCCGGCCUGAGAGGGUGUACGGCCACAUUGGGACUGAGAUACGGCCCAGACUCCUACGGGAGGCAGCAGUGGGGAAUAUUGCACAAUGGGCGCAAGCCUGAUGCAGCGACGCCGCGUGGGGGAUGACGGCCUUCGGGUUGUAAACUCCUUUCGCUAGGGACGAAGCGUUUUUGUGACGGUACCUGGAGAAGAAGCACCGGCUAACUACGUG
rnacentral:rRNA from 1 species